rnacentral:lncRNA from 1 species
CUUAAUGUAAUUUUUCAUGGACUUCUAUGACCUUAAGAGGAAAUUGAUUGGUCAAGGUUCUAGUAAGUUUACUAUUGAUCCAAUUGUAGUUUGUCAUUGUCUUUAAGUUGAUAGAUAUAAUUUUUUUUCUUUUAAUUAAUUACUUAGAAGACUUGAUAGAUAAUUUUGGAGGAUGAUUUGUUGUUGUUGUUGUUGUUGUUUUUUUUUUUUUUGGCACAAGAUGUUUUAGAAAGAAAAUUUAUUUGCCAUGUUGCAAACUCCUUGUUUGUCACAUUUUGACUCAUAGAAGUCAAAGUCGAGACAUGUUUCAUCAAGUCAUUUAUUUUAAACUACAAUCUACCGAAUUAAUUUGAAAAAUUAGUAUCACUUUAAUCUCUCUAUGGUUUAAUCAUAGGAUUCAAGAAAUAGAUUAUGAUGCUCAUAAAGGCUAUAGCUCAUUUUUCUAACCUUAUGUUAAGAUCAAGUUGGUUCAGUUAGAUUUGGGUUCACUCAUAUGAUUCGAAAUUCGUCAAUAAUAUUUUUUUAAGAAAAAAAUUUCUAUAUAUUUUUACCAAAAUUUAGAUAGUAAAUGAGAUAAAAUUUCAAGAUAAUAACAAAAAUAAAUAAAUAAAUUUC